UACGUAGGGACCGAGCGUUGUCCGGAAUCAUUGGGCGUAAAGAGCGUGUAGGCGGCCACUUAAGUCCUGCGUGAAAUCUUGCGGCUCAACCGCAAGCGGUCGUGGGAAACUGGGUGGCUAGAGUGCGGGAGAGGAGAGUGGAAUUCCUGGUGUAGCGGUGGAAUGCGCAGAUAUCAGGAAGAACACCCGUGGCGAAGGCGGCUCUCUGGAACGCAACUGACGCUGAGACGCGAAAGCGUGGGGAGCAAACA
rnacentral:rRNA from 1 species